UAGGGAAUCUUCCGCAAUGGACGAAAGUCUGACGGAGCAACGCCGCGUGAGUGACGAAGGUUUUCGGAUCGUAAAAACUCUGUUGUUAGGGAAGAACAAGUCGGGUAGUAACUGACCCGGCCAUGACGGUACCUAACCAGAAAGCCCCGGCUAACUACGUGCCAGCAGCCGCGGUAAUACGUAGGGGGCAAGCGUUGUCCGGAAUUAUUGGGCGUAAAGCGCUCGCAGGCGGUCCUUUAAGUCUGAUGUGAAAUCUCGCGGCUCAACCGCGAACGGUCAUUGGAAACUGGAGGACUUGAGUACAGAAGAGGAGAGUGGAAUUCCACGUGUAGCGGUGAAAUGCGUAGAGAUGUGGAGGAACACCAGUGGCGAAGGCGACUCUCUGGUCUGUAACUGACGCUGAGGAGCGAAAGCGUGGGGAGCGAACAGGAUAGAUACCCUGGUAGUCCACGCCGUAAACGAUGAGU
rnacentral:rRNA from 1 species